AUUGAACGCUGGCGGCAGGCCUAACACAUGCAAGUCGAGCGGUAACACAGGGAGCUUGCUCCCGGGUGACGAGCGGCGGACGGGUGAGUAAUGUCUGGGAAACUGCCUGAUGGAGGGGGAUAACUACUGGAAACGGUAGCUAAUACCGCAUAACGUCGCAAGACCAAAGCGGGGGACCUUCGGGUCCCUUGCCAGCAAAUGUGCCCCGAUGGGAUUAGCCAUUAGGUGGGGUAAUGGCUCACCUAGGCGACGAUCCCUAGCUGGUCUGAGAGGAUGACCAGCCACACUGGAACUGAGACACGGUCCAGACUCCUACGGGAGGCAGCAGUGGGGAAUAUUGCACAAUGGGCGCAAGCCUGAUGCAGCCAUGCCGCGUGUAUGAAGAAGGCCUUCGGGUUGUAAAGUACUUUCAGCGGGGAGGAAGGUGUUGAGGUUAAUAACCUCAGCAAUUGACGUUACCCGCAGAAGAAGCACCGGCUAACUCCGUGCCAGCAGCCGCAGUAAUAC
rnacentral:rRNA from 1 species